rnacentral:rRNA from 1 species
UACGAAGGGUGCAAGCGUUACUCGGAAUUACUGGGCGUAAAGGGUGCGUAGGCGGUUUGUUAAGUCUGUCGUGAAAUCCCCGGGCUCAACCUGGGAAUGGCGAUGGAUACUGGCGAGCUAGAGUGUGGCAGAGGAUGGUGGAAUUCCCGGUGUAGCGGUGAAAUGCGUAGAGAUCGGGAGGAACAUCAGUGGCGAAGGCGGCCAUCUGGGACAACACUGACGCUGAAGCACGAAAGCGUGGGGAGCAAACAGG